AUGGCAGAAUCUGCAGUUUCUGCUGUGGUGGGAAGAAUUGGUAAUCUGGUCGUCAGGGAGUCAUCGCUACUUUGUUCAGUCACCGGUGAAGUGGAGUUCUUGAAGGAGGAGCUAGAGAGGCUGCAGGGCUUUCUGAAAGACGCCGACAAGAAGAUGAGGUCUGGCAACGCGAGCAUGGCUGUCUGCGUCAGGCAGCUCAGAGAUGCAUCAUAUGAAGCCGAGAACAUUAUUGAAGCUGCAGAGUACGUGAAGAUGCGAAGCAGGCUGAAGAAGGGUUUUAUGGGUGCCAUCUCAAGGUAUGCUCGUUUGCCGAGAAAGUUUGUUGCCCUUCAUAAGGUUGAUGUUCAAAUUCCUGGUGUAAGGCGUAAAAUCAGUGCAAUUGAGAAUAGCAUGUUUAAUUUAAAUAUUGCCAACCUCAGCAUCGAUGAGUCAGAGGAUAUUGAGGAUAAUGUGCUUAUCCCGCAGAAUUUUGUAGAUGAUGUUGUUGUUGGUUUUGAGGAUGAGUGCAAAGAAAUAGUGGAAAAGCUAGUUGACCAAAAGAAUGAAAAACUUAGUGUUGUCUCAUUGGUAGCCAUGGGUGGAGCAGGAAAGACUACACUCGCUAGAAAAGUGUACAAUUCACCUAGAGUUAAAGAAUACUUUAAUGAAUUUGCUUGGGUGACUGUAUCCCAAAAGUUCAAGGGCAUUGAUCUACUAAAUGAUAUUCUGAAACAAAUAACGGGGGCCAGUUAUGAAUUAAGCAAGGCAACUGAUCAAAUCCAGGAGAAUGAGAUCGGGAAGAAGAUCCAUGACUUUCUAUUACAAAGAAGAUACUUGUUGGUUCUUGAUGAUGUGUGGGAGGCAGACACUUGGGAGCAAAUAAAUAGAGCAGCUAAAGUCUUUCCAGAUACAAAUAAUGGCAGUAGAGUACUGUUAACCACACGGAAAAAAGAUGUUGCGCAUCAUAUUGAAAUGCCAACUUAUGUUUGUGAUGUAAAGCUCAUGGAUGAAGAGAAAUCUUGGGAGCUUUUUAAAAGCAAAGCUUUACCAUCAUACAGAACGUACAUGAUAUGUAAUCCUGAUAAGUUUGAAGAAAUAGGGAGAAAACUUGCAAGGAAGUGUGCUGGCCUGCCACUUGCACUUGCAGUUCUUGGGGGGUAUCUAUCGAAGAAUCUAAAUGUAGAGGCAUGGUCAGAUUUACUUUUGGGUUGGACAUCCAUAGAAGAAGUAGAGGUGGUUGGACACAUACUAGCUCGGAGUUAUAAUGACUUGUCAAAUAAGAGGCGCAAGUCAUGUUUCCUCUAUGUUGCUUCCUUCCCGGAGGAUUAUCCUAUAACUGUGGCAGAUCUGAUUGAACUUUGGAUAGCUGAAUGCUUCAUUCCACAUAUAGCAAGGCAUACAAUGGAAGAAAUGGCACAGAGGUAUGUUACCGAUUUGGCUCAAAGAAACUUGGUGCAAUUUGAGUUUGGAGUAGCAGCCAAUUGUAUGUCAAUCCAAACAAUAAGGAUUCAUGAUGUUCUACGUGAUUGGUGUAUAGAAGAAGCAAGAAGAGAUGGUUUUCUCCAUAUCAUUGAUAAAACUACAGGCCAAGCUGGUGCAUCAUCUUCUGAUACCAUGACGUCCUAUCGUUCUUGUUUUCAUAAUUUCUAUGAUGAUCGGAUUCUCCAGUCAACACCUAAUCUCCGAACAUGGAUUGGUUUUGGACUUUCAGAAGUGUUCCUUCCGAAGCUAAGGUUCCUGAGAGUUCUUUACAUAGAAAAUUCAAGCCUCAAGAAUUUGAUGUUAAUUCCUGGGUGCAUUCACCUAAGAUACCUUAGGUUGAGAAAUUGUCACACUGUUACACUUCCUUCUUCUAUUGGACAACUCCUUUACUUGCAAACUUUAGAUCUGAGGGGCACAUCUCUUGGCAGAAGUUUACCAAUCACCGCAUGGGCUAUCCCUACCCUAAGGCACCUUUACCUUGAUUCUGGAUCUUGUGGAAUCAUUAAACAAGACCCGAUGCCACUCCUAGAGAAGCUUCCAUGUCUUGUGGUGUUGCAUCUAUGGAAUUAUGGGGGCCCGACUAUGCACUGCUCUGCCCAAGGAUUCCCUCAGCUGCAAAAUCUGGAACUUCAUUUCUUUAGUACCGAGUGGACGAUAGAGGUGGGGGCAAUGCCAAGGCUCUCCAACCUGAACCUUCUGAGUUGCGGGAUGCACAAGCUCCCCCAGGAUCUGCUGAACCUGCAAUGCUUGAAGAAGUUGGAAACUAACCGCUGGCGGCUUAAAUUUGACAACACAUGGAAAGAACUGAAAAAGAAGGGAUGCAAGAUGUGCGUUUUGGUGGAUGCCUCUUAG
rnacentral:rRNA from 1 species